ACACACAGAAGGGAAGCAACACGAACACCAGUUGUUGUUAAAAUAUGAAUGUACGUUGUGUUUAGUGUCUGUUACCCUGUCUUCAUAUUUGUCUUCUGUUGAUGUUGCAAAUGGAGCUGCUGUGAAACAGACUAUAACGUGUCGUCUCAUAUCAACGUGUCGUCUCAUAUCAACGUGUCGUCUCAUAUCAACGUGUCGUCUCAUAUCAACGUGUUGUUUCAUAGAAUUAUCGAAUUCAGAGAAAGAGCGGCUAGAGGAGAAACAAAGGGCGUCGCGCAGAGAUCGCUCCGUGGAGGAGGAGGAGUGGAGCACCAGGUGGUUCCAGUUGGGAACGAACCCUCACACGGGAGCGGAGGAUUGGCUCUACUCAGGU